rnacentral:rRNA from 1 species
UACGAAGGGAGCUAGCGUUGUUCGGAAUCACUGGGCGUAAAGCGCACGUAGGCGGAUGUGUCAGUCAGGGGUGAAAUCCCGGAGCUCAACUUCGGAACUGCCUUUGAUACUGGCGAUCUCGAGUCCGGGAGAGGUGAGUGGAACUGCGAGUGUAGAGGUGAAAUUCGUAGAUAUUCGCAAGAACACCAGUGGCGAAGGCGGCUCACUGGCCCGGUACUGACGCUGAGGUGCGAAAGCGUGGGGAGCAAACAGG